GAAGUGCGAUAAGCAAUGCGAAUUGCAGAACCGUGAGUCAUCAGAUUUUUGAACGCAACUGGCGCCGGCUGGGUCUCCAGUCGGCAUGCUUGUUUCAGUGUCUUGUUCUCUCCUCACCCAAAUCUUAAUGCGAGAGAUACCCUUCUCUUGCUAAGCAUGAAAGCACUCUGCGCUCUGCAGGCGACUUGGUCGCACUCAAUGCAGCCGUCACAUUAUUACAAUGUGAACUCAUUGAGAGUAGAGGCAGUGCAGUUUACUGCCAGUGCUUAGACACCUAAACUUUCUUGCAUCUGAAAUCAAGCAGGAUCACCCGCUGAACUUAA
rnacentral:misc_RNA from 1 species